CACGUAGGGUGCAAGCGUUGUCCGGAAUCAUUGGGCGUAAAGAGCUCGUAGGCGGCUUAGCAAGUCGGGUGUGAAAACUUCAGGCUCAACCUGGAGCGGCCAUCCGAUACUGCUAUGGCUAGAGUCCGGUAGGGGACCACGGAAUUCCUGGUGUAGCGGUGAAAUGCGCAGAUAUCAGGAGGAACACCGAUGGCGAAAGCAGUGGUCUGGGCCGGAACUGACGCUGAAUAGCGAAAGCGUGGGUAGCGAACAGG
rnacentral:rRNA from 1 species